AGGCAGGGGGCGCGCGCAGCGCGGGGAGAGCUGCGGCCUCACGUCCGGUUACCGCGCGGCCGCCUGCCACCUGGGCGCGUGCUGCAGGGACUAGAGGGCCGGCGACCCGGCGACCGCGGCUCGUCCCGCGCGCCCCGAACCGCCAGCGCCCCCGCCCCCCCCCUCCGCCCGCGCUCGCUCCCGCUCCCGCUCCGCCAUGGGCGCCGCCGGCUCGUCGGCCCUGGGCCGCCUCGGCCUCCCCGCGUCGCGCCUCCCCGCGCAGCCCCGGCCCGGCUGGCUCGCGGUGACCGCGCUGGGACUGGCCGCCGUGGCGCUGGGGACCGUCGCCUGGCGCCGCGCGCGGUCCAGGCGGCGCCGGCGGCUGCAGCAGGUGGGCACGGUGGCGCAGCUCUGGAUCUACCCGGUCAAAUCCUGCAAGGGGGUGGCGGUGAGCGCGGCGGAGUGCACGGCCCUGGGGCUGCGCUGCGGCCACCUGCGGGACAGGUUUUGGCUGGUGAUUAAGGAAGAUGGACACAUGGUCACCGCCCGGCAGGAGCCUCGCCUGGUGCUGGUGUCCAUCACCUAUGAGGGCGACCGCCUGAUCCUCAGGGCUCCGGGCAUGGACCAGCUGGUUUUGCCGGGCAAGCUGCCUUCUUCAAACAAGCUGCAUGAUUGCAGGCUGUUUGGGAUGGACAUCAAGGGCAGAGACUGCGGCGACCAGGCAGCUAAGUGGUUCACCAGCUUCUUGAAAACAGAAGCUUUCAGGUUGGUUCAGUUUGAGGAUCACAUGAAGGGAAGGUCAUCGAAGAAAAUUUUCUCUACCCUUGUACCGAAUUACCAGGUGGCCUACCCAGACUGCAGCCCGAUCAUGCUCCUCUCGGAAGCCUCCCUGGUGGAUCUGAAUACCAGGCUGGAGAAGAAACUGAAAAUGGACCAGUUCAGACCCAGCAUUGUGGUGACAGGCUGCGAUGCCUUUGAGGAGGAUACCUGGGAUGAGCUCCUCAUUGGCAGCGUAGAGAUGAAAAAGGUUUUGGCUUGCCCCAGGUGCAUUUUGACCACUGUAGACCCAGAUACCGGAGUGAUAGACAGGAAGGAGCCACUGGAAACCCUGAAGAGCUACCGCCUGUGUGAUCCUUCUGAGAAGCAGAUCUACAAGUCGUCCCCACUUUUUGGGGUCUAUUACUCAGUGGAGAAAGUCGGCAGCUUGAACGUUGGUGACCCCGUGUAUCGGAUGGUACCGUGACAUGCAAUCUGAUUUAGUCCAACUGGGCUCCUCUCACACUUCCCAUUCGCUUAUAAAAUGCUGACGCAGGAGCCCCAGCAGAAGACAGGUAGAUGUUCUCAGUUCAUUGAGGAAUAAGGAAAUAAAGGUUUCCACAUCCCGGAGGCUUUGAUGAGGACUUUACCGACAGCUGCCAACACCACCUCGGCACGUCCUGUGCUACCCAGCCCUUGACCGUCUUCACCCUGGAGCCGAAUCUCUUUGUAACUUUUUGAAGUUACGCAUGCUCCACGUUAAUGCAGGAAAAGUAUUAGAGGUGAUUCAGCAAUAAGGAGGUAUAUAGAUUGGACGUAAUGAGAACUCUUUAAAUAAAUAAAAUUGUCCAUGAAAUUAUUUGGAAUGUUGCUCUAGCGAUGACACUUUUUAACCCCUGACGUUACUGUUGGUGAGUAAAGAAAGUCUAAAGAAUCAGUCAAAAAGCCGCAGAUUUCUUUUUCCCACGAGUUUACAUCCUCUCCCCUGUCGUUCGUGUUUUUAGGAGAAAUGGGAAACAAGAUCAUUGUUUUCUGAUGUGCCUUAUACGUGUUCCCACAAAUCCUUGAUGUUGGCCUUCACACGGCGGUUGAAUCCUGUCAACAUUUGCUCAUGUGUUCUGGACCCCAAAUUAGGGAAUCGGGUUGUACUUGAGUAUGGAAGUUAUUUUGUAGAUCUUGUUUUCAUUUUCGAUUAAGCCCUAUAUAAAAGCAAUUUGUCUGUAACCACCAGGUCCACUGCCUGGAAUUUCAAGUAUGACAAAGAAAACAUGGGCUUUUAAAACGAAUGGAAUGUUGAGAGCAGGCGUGAGGAGCACGAGCGCAUUUUUUUAGGUGCAGAUAAUUUUUAGGUACAAAUAAUCCGGUGCAAAAAAAAAAAAAAAAAAAAAAGAACUAUCUUGGUAUGACUAAACAAAAAUCCUCACUGAAGUAAUGUGUGGAUGCGUUAACCCACUUACAGUGUUGGGGUUUAUUAUUAAUAAAUGUGAAUCUCAGUUGUA